AACGAACGCUGGCGGCAUGCCUAACACAUGCAAGUCGAACGAGACCUUCGGGUCUAGUGGCGCACGGGUGCGUAACGCGUGGGAACCUGCCCUUAGGUUCGGAAUAACUCCCCGAAAGGGGUGCUAAUACCGGAUAAUGUCUUCGGACCAAAGAUUUAUCGCCUUUGGAUGGGCCCGCGUUGGAUUAGCUAGUUGGUAGGGUAAAAGCCUACCAAGGCGACGAUCCAUAGCUAGUCUGAGAGGAUGAUCAGCCACACUGGGGCUGAGACACGGCCCAGACGCGCGGGGGCGGCAGGAGUGGGGAAUAGUGGAGGGGGGGACAAGGCGUGCGCGAGCGCGGGGGCGGGAGUGAGGAUGGUGUUAGGGUGGUACAUCUGUUUUCCAGGAGAUAAUACGAGCAGUGGGGGAAGAAUAGCCUCCGGCGAACUCCGUGCAGGCAGACGCGGUAAAGGAUGGAAGAGCAACGUCAGAAC
rnacentral:rRNA from 1 species